rnacentral:rRNA from 1 species
UACGAGUGCUCCAAGCGUUAUCCGGAAUUACUGGGCGUAAAGGGUGUGUAGGUGGUUUUGUUAGUCUUUUGUUAAAUUUCCCGGCUCAACCGGGAACCUGCAAGGGAAACGGCAAAUCUAGAGGAUAGGAGAGGUCGACAGAACUCAUGGUGUAGGGGUGAAAUCCGUUGAUAUCAUGGGGAAUACCAAAUGCGAAGGCAGUCGACUGGCCUACUCCUGACACUGAAACACGAAAGCGUGGGUAGCGAAUGGG